UGGGGAAUAUUGGACAAUGGGCGCAAGCCUGAUCCAGCAAUGCCGCGUGUGUGAAGAAGGUCUUCGGAUUGUAAAGCACUUUCGACGGGGACGAUGAUGACGGUACCCGUAGAAGAAGCCCCGGCUAACUUCGUGCCAGCAGCCGCGGUAAUACGAAGGGGGCUAGCGUUGCUCGGAAUGACUGGGCGUAAAGGGCGCGUAGGCGGCAUAGACAGUCAGACGUGAAAUUCCUGGGCUUAACCUGGGGGCUGCGUUUGAUACGUCUGGGCUAGAGUGGGGAAGAGGGUCGUGGAAUUCCCAGUGUAGAGGUGAAAUUCGUAGAUAUUGGGAAGAACACCGGUGGCGAAGGCGGCGACCUGGUCCUUGACUGACGCUGAGGCGCGAAAGCGUGGGGAGCAAACA
rnacentral:rRNA from 1 species